GGAAGUGUCCACGGCGGUAACAGGUGAGGUCGACACCUCAGCGGCCAACAUGCGGCAACAGCGUGUAGGUGGGAGAAGAAGCACGCAGGUACAGCCAGGCGUAUGGACAGCUCCGUGUUUCCAGCACAGGGACUCAGUAGUCCCCCCACUCUCUACCGACAGGAGACGACAGGCCUCCCCUCCUCACGCAGGAUCCGCUCCCCCUAUCUCACAAACUUCACUGUGUGCAACUCUAAAAGUGACGGACAGCAGUCCAGUGUCUCUCUCCCGCCUGUCUCUCUGAGCUGCGCCAUGUUCCUCCCAUUCUCACACAGGUGAGUGUCAUCAAGUCAUUAGUUGAAAUAAAUGCAGGGCUCUAUCUAUCCCCCUGAAGUGUCAACAGUGAGAUAAUGACUCCAAACAUCAUCUUAGUAGCCUACAAUAUUUUAGUAAAUAAUAUAAGUGAGCUUAAAGAGAAUCAAACUUUAUUUGGGGUGUAGGUAGACUUGUAAAGGUCAGUACAUGGUUAACUGUUAAACAGACUUCUACAUAAAUAGGGCUAUUGCUUUUCUUACCAAUAUACACUUUUAUUCAUGCAUCAGUGGGGGACUACCUGUAUUAUUUAGCUUCAGUUGAAAGCAUUUUCACCCUGCUGAACAUAUAGACAGACAACCUUGUCUAAGGACACUCAAGGGAAUUAAAGCCAAAGCUGGAAUGUAACCAUCAACUCGAUAGCUCUAACACUGAGUCAUAGCUGCCCACAAAGAGUUUCAGGAGUAGGACCAUAUCUUAGGCAUGCCUCUUUUGACACUCUUGUGAUUAAAAAUCUCUGUCCUUCCUUUUUAACUCUCUAAUAUCAAGUAUCGAAAGCUUUAAACAGGGAGUUUCUGAAGGCGGGCCACAGACUCCAGCAAGACUCAUGAAUAAACCUACUGAGCUGGAAGACACAAACAUUAAAGUACCAAAUGCUUCAUUUUAACCUUAGCCUCUGUUGCUGUUAAGCAGUAUGGUCACACAGUUUAUUUGGAGAUCUGCCAAAUGAGUGACACUGGUCUGCUCUGGGUGUCCUCUUUUCUCACAUCCGGCCAUUGAAGUCCCAUCCCACACAUAUUGGGGUGUGACCUCCAGUUAUCUUUCCUGACGUCAAAGAGUUAUCAAGACUACUACAUCUAUGGGAUGUGGCCCACGCUGGUUUUGGCAUGAGACCAGCUGGCUCUCUGAUAACAAUAUUCUACCUUAAUUGACACAUGUAUCACAGCAGUCUGUAUAUCCAUAUAAAUUGAAAAGGUUUGCAUAGGUACACAGCAUGUGUUAGGUAUUGUCUUCAUGUCAGUCAGGAUGGUGUGUUCACCACCAGUAACAAUGCAGAAAAAAAAGAAAAACAAUUGAAUUAGUAUGAAUAUUGAACUUUUACUAUCAGCUCCUGAGUUUUCCCAUUAAAUUCAUCAGGCUCAGCGUUGUUAUCCUUGCUCAACAACAUUCAAGCUUAAUUAGCCUGUUUUUACUGGAGGCUGCAUCUCAGGCUACUCAUGAAGUUUAUGUGGCGGAUAAUUGAGAAAAUCUAGCAGCUCAUGAUAAUAAGAUUUUGUAAUGAAAGAUAAACUCCUUGUAGAACUGAGUCAGCUCCAUAACAAAGCUUGCUAUAACAGAGACGCAUUAAUAUGAGUCUUACAACGGCACACCAGAUCACAGUAGAAUAUGAGUAGGUGAAGCUAAUUAUGUUCAUGUAAGCAUUUUUAAAAAUUAUUAUUAUAUUCAUAUUAUAUUUUUUAUUUAUUGUUUUUAUCUACAGUAUAUUCAUAUUUGAUUUUAUAUAUGUAUAAAUUUUUUUUUUUUUCAAAUUGACUUUUCCUUCGGGGAAAAAUAAAGUUAAAGUUAUUCUUAUGAGCAUUGCAGAUAUAGUGGCUUGUAAAAGUAUUCAUUCUCCAAGAUUGCCUUGUAUUAAGCUCCAUCCAUCUUGCCAUGAACUCUGACCAGCUUCCCUAUGCUGCCACCCCCAUGUUUCACGGUGGGGAGGGUGUGUUCAGGGUGGUGUGCAGAGUUAGUUUUCCACCACACAUAGCGAACAAAAAGUUCUAUUUUGGUCUCAUUUGACCAAAGAACCUUCUUCUGCAUGUUUGCUGAGUCCCUCACAUGGCUUUGGGCAAACCGCAAACAAGACUCCUUGUGGCUUUUUUCAACACUGGCUUUCUUCUUUCGUAAAGGUCAGACUUGAGGAGUGCGCAUAAUAGUGAGCUGUGGAUCUCUCAGCCCUUGGUCUCAGGUUUUUGUGGUUGGGUUUCUGUGUUUGGCGACUAUCACAGGUUCUUGUGAUUUCUUUGUUUGGUCUAUUUCGUUUUAAUGAUGUCUCAGCUCAUGUGAUACUCAUCAAAGCUUUUAUGUCUUCCACCGAUUUUUAUUCUUAUUUUAUCUAUUAAUUGCCAGUAAUGACCCCCCCCCCCCCCCCAAGUGUUCUCUUAUCGUUGCUCUGUUGUUUUAUCUUCUUUGUUUUCCUGCAUGUUAAAGCACUUUGUAAACUCUUGUUUUUAAAAGUGCUCUAUAAAUCAAGUUAUUAUUAUUAUUUUCAUGUCUGAAAUCAGGAAUGAAACAUGCUCAUAGAUUAUCUGUGUUCAAAACUCUCCUCAGUGAACAGAAGUGAAGUUCUGCAGGAUGACACUAGAGGGCAGCAGACUGAACCAACCACACAGCCACAUCAUGUUGUCCAAAGAAUGUAAACUUGCACAAUACACUUGCGUAACCCGAUUGCUCAUCAAAAGCAUGCCCACAUUUUCCAUUCCAGCACAUGUGAACACAAACUCUCUCCCAGGGGCUCCUAACCCGCACACCUCUCAUUCCACCAAACUGCUCCGUUCAAUCAGAUUCCCAUUGUCAAAGUGCGUCAGUCCAAGUGAUCAUGCAGACUCUGUGUGAAAUCACGAGUCAGCUUUUCCAUGGAUAGAUGUGGUGUGUUUCUUCCAAAACAGCGAACUCCCUCUGGGACAGCAGCGCCAGGCGUUAACAUGGGUUUAUGUGAUAAAUCUGAUUGAGUGAUUAUAAACUAUAUUUUGUCUUUUUCUGGAUUAUCACAGAGGCAUGACACUAAGUUUUGUCUUAUUUUUUCAUUUUCCCACUGAAGGCUUAUCCCACUGAGCACUAGAAGGCUAUUAGACGUCUAGUUUUUUUUUAACCUAAUUUUAACGGUCUAGAUUCUGUAUAUUUUUCAACAGAAUUUAGACGUCGCACUUUAACCCAUUAUUCGAUAAAUAUUCAUUUCAAAAAUGAGUUGCGUAACUGAUCUCCAAGUACUUAACCAAAAUAAUUAUGAGAGCCAUUAAGUAAUAUACAGUGUAGUAUAGAUAUAGCCCAGAUUUCGAUUUAGUCUAAACUUGGUCUAAAUUUAGACAGCUAAAAACCUUUUAUUUUAGACCUGUGGUAGCCUGAUUUUAGACCAGUCGUCAAGGCUACAUUUAGACGUCUAUUAGACCUCUUUUAGACCAAAAAAUACUCAGUGGGAUAGAUUUUGCUUCUCAAAAACCUCAUAUAUGUCUGCUUUUAAUGCUGCAAUAGUUUGCAAGCUCCUGAUUUGUCCUACUUGUCCAAGUCUUCCAAAGAUUAACUUGUUGCUUCUUGAUAAGACUUAAAAAAUGUAAUUGUGAUGAAUUCUUAAGCAUCAUAACUGCAGCCUCGAUGUCUUCCUUUCAGGUAAUGUAAUGUUUUUCUUGGAUGGGCCCAUUGAAGGAAUUUUUUCAUGGUUGCUCCCACUGUUUCUCUAAAUUUUUCAGCAUAUGUGGAAAGGAAACACUAAAAAUGCACUGACUGGGGUGCAGAAAAUGGAAGCAAAAGCGGAGGAAUUGGUUGAUUUUAAUCCAUUGAAAUGAUGGAAGAGAUGUCAAUAGAAAAACAGCUUUACAUCUGAAAGUCAAACAGGAAACAGUGAGGCUGGAUCGAUUUUAGCAAGAAUCUUGUAUCACGUUGACCUUUAUUUCCUGAAAUCCAGAGAAAUUGAGAAAAUAAGGCUGAUAUUAAUCAGGGACUCUUGCAAAAUCCUGCAAUCCUUUAAAUUAGUGUUAUUUUGUGCUCAUAUCAAGAAAAUGACUGAUGGUAUCUUUUCAAAUCACAACACUUUUUAAGCAUUUUCACUCAAAAGCAAGCUGAACAUGUAAAACCCUGAUUCAGUUUCACAUGAACCAAAAAGCAAUGAGUUCAGUAUACAAUGUUUAUGGCUAUAUGACCAGAGGAAAAGAGAGACUUUCCCUGAAAUACCAAGCAGUGCUUCUCCCCGAGGUGCUGACAGUUAAAAGAGGGAAAAGACUUGAAAGCUCACUUCAUCAUCCCUUAACAUUCUUGUUUCCGGCCUUCGGGGAAUCUGGCUGACAGGUAGCUUAUCACUGUUAAGUUCACUUUAAUUUUUUCUCACAUGCACAAGGUUUUCUUGCUUAUGGUGGUACUUGUUAGCGAAAUGAAAAGAACAACAAAGUGUGUCUCGAUCUAUUGAGUUUUAUUUAAGUUCUUGAAUUUGAGCCGUUGCAGGAGAAAAAAAUGUGCCUACAGCAUCUGAAAAGUAACGGAGAGGUGAUUUUAUUGUUAACUUUUUAAAGCUGUAUUCCUUAAGUUUUAAAUACAACCCAACUACCACGCCAUAUUCAAGGGAUCACUCAGACUUAACACAAAUUAAACUAGAUAUAAAUAGGCUGUUUUGGCUUUGGCUUUGUAGUGUUAGGAAUCAGACAACUAGCCACGCACACUUCAUGUUCAUAACCGAACUCAUACAACCCCCCCAAAAACUUCUUUAAAUAAUCAGGAUGACUGGAACCCAUGAUUUCCCACAAGUGAGCAGAUGGGGUAAAUGACAUUAUCAUGCCACAAGUACAGAUAAAACAUGAGCCAAUAACAACAAAGACUUUAAAAUGGCAACUUGUGAUAAAAUAGUUUCAGAAUAAAGACUGAAAAUUUCCAGACGUCUUCUGCUCUAUCGGGCCAAAAAAAAAGGAUUAAUAUAUCAACAAGAAAUUGUUUUUUUGACCAGGAAAAUGGGUUCAUGUAGUGUAAGAUUAAGAGAAAACCAAAGGUGAUUUUUUUUUUCCAAAUUUGCAUGUGCGUUUUAUCAUAUCGCAGGUGCAAUUUAAUUGUUAGUGCAAGUCCAAAUAUCGCCAUUGGCAAAGUCGCUGUGCUUUAAGGAUCCUGAUGAGGUGUCUCCUACUCAAAACAAUACCAAAUGUGGCUAAACUAAAAAGUAUCUCUCUGUGAGUCAUACCUAAAUGAAAGAAAUGUUGAUAAUAUGCUCUCUGUCCAUGACACUGUCCUUCGUCUCUCACAAAUGAGGCGCACAGAGGAUUAUUUACAAAAACGCAUGCACAGGAUACAAAUAAAAUGCACAUAGUAGAUAUGUAUAAAACGCACAUUGGAGAUACUACAUUGCAUGUGCGAGAUACUCAAUCGCACAUGCGAAUUAGAAAAAAACAAAAAUUCAUGUCACCUCCCGGCUCUGUAGCUACCAGCUGUUAGACAGAAUAAAGAAAGUUUGGCACAAGCUGCUUUGAAUACUUGGAUGACCUCCUGGUUAACAGUAACAAGGCCAGUGCCACAGGUGAAAGCUGAAUCAGUCCUGGUGUGGAUGACUCAGUUCCACUAGUGAACUUAAAACAGAAAGUUUAAAGAUAAAAUUCAGGUAUAGACAUCACAGGCAUCAUCUGCUUUUAAUAGCUCUAAUAGCUGCACACGUGUUUAGAGUAAAGGACUUCCAUCAGUGGUCGAUAUGACAGACUCUGGUGGUCAUUUUUUAACUACCAUGCAGCCUUCAGACCACCCAGUGCUCCAACUCUUGGUUAAGUGCGAAAAAAUACUUUCCAGCAACUGUGAAAUGUUUUGCUGCAGGUCCAAUGGCAGUGACUGCAUCGCAUGAGCUCCUGCAGGGAGAACAUAAGGAAGUGAGCGCUCCCAUCAUGGCCCACUGUGGUGUGUGAAGAGGAUAGUCCUCUGGUCAAAUGAUUUCAUCACAGAGAUCAGGUAUUAUUAGAGUUGUUAUGUACUUUACACGUGUUGUAAUCACAUAAUAUGACAGACUGAGGCCUGAUAUCCAAGAAUCAAACCUGCACUGCACCCGUAUAGUUCAUUGCAUUGCAUCAAACGAAACGUUGGCCUCAAAUUUAGAAUAACUCUUCUUCUCUCUUUCAUGUGAGCCAAUGAAGUUCAGAGCUGAGCGCUUUGUUUGAAGUUGUCCAGCAGUGUGUUCGCUGAGGUUGGGUGGGUUCUCGUCUGAGUCGGGUUAGCUACACUGAGGGUCAGCCUGACAGCACGGGUCUUUGUACUUAACAAGAGGAGCUCGCACAGGUACAUGGUGCUGCUUUGAUCCUCGGGUCAGCUGAAUCACUCACAGGUCACUCCAGAGCUGUGAUUACGAAGCUCAAAGCUGCACUCAGGAAGAUUUGUUUCAGAGCGAACAAAGCAUCUUCAACCACAUACACACUGCCCUGAUGCUUCUCCUUGUAUGACUACAUCAGGAUUUAAUCUCUAUGACUUCUAGUUAUUGUACUGUGGCCCAGAAGGCUAGACACAGUCUACAUUUUGAAUAUUGACAAGGGACUAGCAAAUUAAACAAAAAGUACAUUAAUCUGACAAGAUAUGUGCACAUGCAUGAAGAAUUUAAAAGAAUUUAAUCCUCAAAAACACCAGGAUACAACCAAAUCUCAGAUUUCCAUUAAAGUCAGACUAAUUAAGUACAAACUGGAAAAAGCAGAAACAACAAUGACAAAAUUUCAAGACAUUUGAGAACUGUAAAAUAGUCAAAACCAGACCUUCAUUCUGUGAAAUAGCCCUUAAGACACAGACAUUUAAAGCUGCAACCUCCAUCCACCAGCAUCUGGCAUUGAGGGAGGAGGCUUAGAUAUUACUUGCUCCGAUGAAAAUCAUGUUUUUCUUGUUGUCUGCAUGUUCAUACGACAUUUUUCUGAUGCUACAGGACAUAUCAUGAGAAAAGUAAGUGCAAAAUUGCAUUUCUGAGUAUUUCUGCAUUAAAAUCGCUGUGAAUCUUAAGACCCAAAUGACAGGCUCAGACACGGUGAGAUUUCCUACGCAGCAAAUCCAAGCUAUGCAGGCCACACUCGGAAAAGUAGAAAGGACAAUCGCGGAAAAACGUGUGUGUUAGCAGAUUGUAAUGCUCGUAAGGAAGCUAAUAAUGAUAUUAACUUUCAUCAUGUCCCUAAAGACAUUAGUGUCCAAGAUGUGAAUAGCUCCUAUGUUACCUGCCACUUCUUCUACACCGGCAAUGUUAGGCUACAAGCUAGCGUAAAGUGUGCAGAGCAGCGCUGUCUCCACCCACGACUCAGAGGCUAACUGCUAAUAAGCGACUGGAGCUCUGCAGAAGAAAAGCCCUUGAAAAUGACACAGGUAACAUAAUUUUGGCUAAAAACUUCAUAAUCACAAUUUAAAGACCCCUGAGAACACUUAAAGUUGUAAAGAAAAAAAUGAUCAACCUGGGACUUAAAGCAGUAAGAGCCCCGUGUCUGGCAGUCAGAUCUCAGAUAUCCAGAAACAGCUUUAAAGUGCGUGGUGUAAUUUUCUUCAUUACAAAAUGGUUUCGUUUAAAUUUCCCUUUUUACUUCAUCAAUGUUCAUCCAAUCAGAAUGGAGAGGCAACAUACAUUUCAUGACAUUUUGCCUUAGUGUUCUCUAAUGCCCUGGUAGUAUUUCAUGGUUAUACAAAUAGACAGAAACGGGUUAAAGCGAUUCUUGGAAUUAAGUAGGCUUUGAUCUGAUGUUAAUUUUAAAGUGAUUACAUCUGGUCUUACCUUUUAUGAAACCUGCUGCAAGAAAGAAAAACUUUCAAGAUGUGUACUUUGAAGGAGGUACAAUUUUGUGGUUUUGACUCUGUGAAGGAUCCAUUUAGCAUUACACACAGACAAAUGAUCUAUGAGUGAUAAAAGCAUGUAUAUUGGUUUGGUCUGAUUCAGGUUUACAGCCCCUAGAAAGACCCGCUCACUUUUCAAGUCCACAGAAAACAGACCAAAAGAGGAAACUGUUUCUCACCUUGACCUGGAGCGCUGGUCACAUUUUUGUACGGCAGCAAGAAACUACAGGUAGGUUUUUAAUUACUCACUGCAUGCCAUGAUGAGUGCAGUAGAGCUAUUAUCAGCUCUGUCUCCACCCUGAGGCACGGCGUUAAAUCCCUCUGCUCUUCUUCCAGAAGCUCUUCGUUUACAGGACGUACAGAUGAGUUUGCUCUGAUCAUAACUGCAGAUGUUUUUUUCUCUCUCUGAUCAUCUUUGUCAUACUUUCCUGAUUUAUGGACUGUUUUACACUCAAAGACUUUUCUUUCCCUGCUCAGGGUUUUUCUGUUGUGUUCUUUGUCAAAAACACAAAAACAAAAUGCUUGUUAUUGACAGUCUGUGUUUUGACCCAGAUUUUCCAACAGCUUUGAUAAAUGAUCCUCUUUCCCCCCCAACUCAGACACUCAUUUUGUGUGUGCCCUUAUCAUGUGAAAAUAUCAAUCUGUGUCUAUCAGUGAGCGCAGCAGUACGCUAAUAAACGGUGUAAACUCCCGAUGCUGUCAGCGCAGAGUGAGCAUGGUUCCAGUCCUGUAAAUGGUUGGCAUUUUUGAUGAAUGAGGGUCUUAAAAAUAGGAGAGGGAAGGGUGAGGGUUCUCCCUUGAGGGUUAUGGGGGGAAAGGGAGGCUGCUUAUUAAUGUGAGAACUUAAGUGCUGUUGCAAAAGCCACUGAAAGAGAGGCGUGGCUCAUACAAAAAGUAGGGUCUGCAUCUGGUGCAGCAGAAGAUGCAUUCAAGCUUGUUUAAUGUAUGCAAAAGAAAAAUGAUCACAAAUAUUCCUCAUUGACUUUCCCCAACGCUCAAUUAAUAAUUGAUUGUUUCAAGGUAAGUCGCACUGACCUCCAGAAUUGAAGAGAUGAUUGACUUGGCAUCAUUAAAUAUGCAGAGAACAUUUUGGAUUUGACCUUUUUCUUUCUUUGGCUGCAUAAAGCUCCAAAUGAAGUGCUCUGCAUAAUAAAACAGUGUUUCAAACAGUGCUUCAGAUUUAGGAGUUCAGCAUUUGCCAAAGUGCUGUCAUACACUCAGAAUGUGACCAAAGUCAGCCACUCAUCAGAUCCGCUUGAGAGUGUGGAGAGCUGUCCUGUAGGUGGCGCCUCGAAUAAACUCCUCCAUAAUGUGGUCCAUUUGGUCUGUCAGGUGUAGGUCAAGGCUGUCAUAGUGCAAAAAUUAGAUUAUUACAGAGUAGAUGUAAGUAUAAAAAAGCUGAAAGUUCACUGCUCCAUGUAACUACUGGAUCAUAGUAAGGAAUGGUGUUGGUGCGACUGCAGCACAUAUUAUGUCAAGGAGGUUAAAGAGGUGGAGGAGAGGUACUCUACCUGCACCUAGAAAGUUUUAUAACAAUUUGGUUUCAUGUAAAAACAAUAAGUUUUCACUGGAUUGUACGUUUAUGUCAAAAGUAAAGCCAAAGAGGUAACCUGUUACUCCACCCUUGACUAAAGUUUUAGUUUAUCCCGAUAACUGUGGUAUUCUAGGUUAUUUCAGGCCACUGUACGAUAGCCUUGAGGUCAAAAUCUGACAUAUGACAAACACUGUUGCACUUAUAUUUAGUGAUGCACAGUAUAAUCAGCUGAUUGAUGCCAGUUUACAAAGUUUCUUGACAGUUUUGGCAGAUAUGAAAAUUUCAGUUUUUAUUUGAUCCUUUAUGCACCUCCAUUUGAAAUGUCUUUUCUUGAAAUAAUACAGUUGUCUUUGCAUCUAUAGUCAAAUUACAUGUUGUUUGUCAUGUUUGUCUAGUUCUUAAUUAGAAGAUCAUCACAAUUAGAGUAACAGGUAAGGAGAAACUUUGUAUUCUUGACAAGGAAAAAAAAGCUAUGUAAUAUGGUAUUGGCUAAAAAUAUUGGCACAUCGUGUAUCUGCGUAAAUCCAGUAUCAUGUAUACCUGCUCCUAUCUGGGUGACUCUCAGUAUUUUAAAUUGAUAUAUGUAUAAUUGUAACAUUAGCAUGUAUUUUGCAUGAAGCAUGGUUUAUAUCAUAGCACAGUUUAUGCAGUAAUCAUGUCAACAUGCCGAUACAUACUGCGUUUUAGCAUGAUGUGAGAGCAAAAUACAGACGUAAGGUAAGAAGAGUUUGAUUAAUGUAAACCAAAGUGUGGACAGAGUGCUUUUUUGAAUGGAAAGUUUAGGUGGGGAAUUGUGGGGAAAGGCCAAGGCGAAUGACAGACAUCAUAAAGAUCAUAACAUUUAAAGCAAUUCUCUGUUUAGUUACCAAGGUGUUAACUCGUAACAUAAAAAAUAAGCCGACAAAAAAACUGGGACACUUACUCCACAAUACAACAAAAUGAAUACCAUUCAACAACAGCGUGAACAGCAUCACAAGGCUUCAGAGGCGUUUGAGCGUGCCAGUUUGCUUCAGCUGUUAGCCUGAGAUAUCAUCUCAAAACACAAUACUUGAAAUGAUUAAACAGCUUUGAGGAGAAGAACUGAACCCUGUUCUCUAAUAGCCCACAUUAAAUUCAAAACAGCUUCUCAUCUUGGAGAACAGGCGAUAAUCUUUAUUCAGAGCUCCUGCUUUUAUAAGUACAUUAACUAACAGCCGUCAUAAAUCAUUGGGAAGCUUCACUGCCAGCAGCAUUACAGGGAAUUCCCACUUUCCAAACCUCAGCCUGCUGGUCAUGCAGUAUGUGUCUGAUCCUGCACACUUCAAGAAGGUGUGACUAUCAACAGCUGAUUUAAGCCCAACUCUCAUCUCAAAGUAGAUAAUACACAGACUCCAGAGGCAGUGGUGAGUGACAACGAUAAUAGAUUGGACCAUUAGAUUUAAAUGAAAAGUAAAAGUGGUGUGAACACACUGUGAAUCAAAAUCACAGAAUGCUGAGGUUUAUUUUCAUUUUAACAACUUUUGAUUACAUGGAGUCUGUUAUCAGAAAAAUAAUCUACAGUCCAAGUAGACAAACUAAAAUGUCUCAGUAACUUUUCUGAGUGCAUCCUGGAGAAAUUUCUGCUUUGAGUGACAACUCUCCCACUAGGCCAUAUGUGCGUCAUCACUAACUGUAAGAUGAGUGAAAGCAAAACACGUAAUUCUUGCAAAACCUUAAAGGGUAAUUCCGGUGUAAAUUUAAGUUAUGGUCAAACACACUGUAAACAGAGUUAGACACCCCCUCAAGAGAGAUGAAUGUUGCAGACUGCUCGCUUCUCUAGUUAUACCAACUUCAGCAACGACCACAUGAUGGAAGUACACAGCAGUCUACGGCUCCACCGAAAACCUCAACCAAAAAGCCACUUUAUAGCUACAAAUAAUGCUCAGAACAGCACCUAACUUCAUCAACAGUACAUAUAGGGUCACAGCCAUAGUACUAGUCAUCAAACAUCUUUUUAGCUUUGCCUGGUUUCUUUAACAAAGAGACCAAACACAACUCACCCACUCUCCUCCAGCAGCCGCUUGUUUGUGAGUACCAUGGCCGGGACCCUUUAAUCUUCCUGGCAAAAGUGAUGUUGCAGAGGACAACAUGCAAAUGCACGUGAGGGUGAAUACAUGUGCCAAGCAAGAGGAUAAAUGUUCAGUUUCUGAUAGAUAGAUAGAUAGAUAGAUAGAUAGAUAGAUAGAUAGAUAGAUAGAUAGAUAGAUAGAUCUGACAUCUGAGUGUGAGUUUUCUGUGUAUAAACCAGUUUCUGAAAACUCAUAAUCCAGGUUCUGCUUACUUUGCUGUUAAUCUUGGCUGCUAUAAUGCUGAGAUACUGAUCAUCUCAGUGGGGUGAGAAGUGUUCAGCUUGCUUGGAGAAAAACCUGGGGGAAAGGGGUGUGUGCUGUUUGAAGGCUUUGGUUUUACUCAAGGGUCAAAGGAGAGAUGACACCUGACCGGCCAACAAAGCACGUCCCGGCUUCCAGACUCUCAGUUGUCUUUCGACACGUGACUUUGUGUUUCCUCUUAAUUCAUCCACAAAGACCCGCCGGAUGUUUUUUUCCCUCUGAAGUGUGAGAUAUUUGACCGAGCUCUCUGUUUGAUAAACACAAACAGGUCAGAAGAUCAAUUUCAUGGUCAACUCUUACAACACAGAGGUGAUCAUGAACUUAAGAGGUGCUUUUGCCAUAAAAAAAGGGCAGUGAGGAACCAAAUUUACAGCUUUUUAGACUACAAUAGUUUUUUCUUUCUUAUUUUGUGUUCACAGUAUUUCUGCAGCCAACAUCUUAGUCUUCUGGAGGAACAAUGCAUCAGGGACGUUGUUUGAGGAGUAUUUUUACCUCUAGCUGUGACGGGACCACAGCUGAAGACCGGGGCCGGGUGUGGCAGACUUAAAAGAGGAAAUGUUGACCAACUGCCUUGCACACUUUUGCAGUAUUUACUGUGUAAACCAGGAGGCUGGCAGAGGAGCGUGUUCUUAUUUAUCUUGGCUCUUGGCUUAUCAGUCGAGAUUGGAGCUGUUAGGGGAAAUAUUUUUGUGGGUGGCCUCUCCUGUGCGCUGUGGUUUGGCUGCCAGGUUCUGAGGGAAUUAAGUAUAGAUGUGAGAAUCUGUACCCUCUAUGUCAUCUUUCUGUGCACUUAAUCCCUUAUCUAAGCUCUGCUCCUGUCUACUGUGGGAGGCAGAGCUCUCAGCACAAUCAUACAAAAUCAAGAAAAAUACGGUACUCUGGGUAUGUCAGGCAUGACAGCAUUUAAACAGCCCAAAGUUUUAGACAUCUGUAACAACAUCACUGAUAGUUUGCACCUACGGCUUCUCUGACCACCACCACACAACACUCACAAUCAUACACCAGUGGAGGACACACACUGGGAGCAAGGUGGGUUAAGUGUCUUGCCCAAGGACACAAUGGAUAGACUAGGAAUAGGGUGGGGAUCAAACCGCCAACCUUUCAGUUAUUGGAUGACUGCUCCACCUCCUGAGUAGUGUCUAUUGGCUCUCCAGCGACAGUAACUCCAUCAGCCUUCAGUACUGCCUCUUCCUGCAGCAAUAUUAUGGACAUAUCAUAUCAGGAGGAGGCCAUUGGAGGAUAUGGAGUCUAUUCUAAGGGCGGCACAGUGGUGUAGUGGUUAGCACUGUUGCCUCACAGCAAGAAGGUCCUGAGUUCAAAUCCGGCUCAGGGUGUUUCUGUGUGGAGUUUGCAUGUUCUCCCUGUGUCUGCGGGGGGUUUACUCCGGGUACUCCUGUUUCCUCAGGAAACCUAAGUGGGGUUACGUUAAUUGGCCACUUUCACUUUGCCUGUAGGUGUGAAUGUGAGCGUGGAUGGUUGUUCGUCUCUAUAUGUCAGCCCUGCGAUGAUCUGGUGACUUGUCCAAGGUAUCGGCCUUCACCCGAAGAUGCUGGGAUAGGCUCCAGCGACCCCGGGAAUGGCAAUAAGCAGUAGAAAAUGGAUGGAGUCUAUUCUAGAUAACAUGGAUCAUCCACUCCAUGCAACACCUUGAUGGACCAAAGGGUAAAUGUACGAGACUCCAGACAAAGAAUUUCCCUUUGGAGAUCAGUAAAGUUGUUGUUUUAGUGAAUAUCAUUGUACCAUAUUUUGUUAUGAUAGUGUCUUAAAUUACCACUAAUUUAACAACAACAAGAGCUCUCAGAUGGCUCUACAAAUGAGCUCAAGAGGAAAAUUUGAGUUUUUCAAUUUAGAAAAAACAUUCAGCAAGAAGGAUUUUUAAACCAAAAGGUAGGAUUGCACAAAAUUGGAUGUAAUCUGUGUUCUGCAUUUCCCACUGUCACAAAGACGGGGCUCCAGCAUUUCUGAUAGCACAGUAGCAUGGCACUGGUGGGAGAGUCCAAGCUUAAAUACAGUAAGAGAUACAGAAAUUACAUAAGUUAAAUUGGUGUCAUUAUAGUUAUCUCAGUUUAGAAAUCAAUCAUCAACAUGAGUUAAAUAGACGAUGCCACCUAUCUGUAGAGUGGCUGUACCCCGCAUGACUGAGGCCAGCUGUCACUCACCGCUACCAUACACUAACUGGUGAAUGAAUGCUGAGUGACAUGGUGAACCAAAUUAUUCAAAAAGAGGAAAUUAGAAAAAACUGAGGCAGAAUUAUGCCUAACUGAAGAAAAUACCUAUAAUUACAGCAGAGACAUGAAACAAAUGUCAAACAGCCGAGAAAGAUGUUCUCUGGGGUCUGCACAUGGUAAGCAUGAAAGAUGGUAUUAAAAUGGCCUGUCUUAUGAUCAGCUUCCGAUAUUUUGACAGUAUCUUCUGAGAGGUUCUCGCCUGAUGCGUCUCAGCCAUGUGAUACAUGCAAACAUCUCUGUCCUACUGAGCUGAAUUAAUCUGGGGGCUUGAAUAAGCAGUGAGCUUUCCUCAGCCGAGUGCUCUUUAACCUGAACUUUCAUCGCCUGACAUAGGUGAGUCUGGCUACAACAAAGGAUAAUGGUUCUGAUGACGGAUCCCGGGGCUGUCUCACUGUGUGGCAUGCAGUCUGCUCCUGUGCAACUGCUGUGACACGCUCACACACACACACGCACACACACACACACACAAACAGAGACUGUGACAUUGCUGUGGGCCUCAAUCAUAGGUACUUGUUGGGCUCUGCCAAGAUCGGCUCAGUUUCAAGGUGAUUUAUUUGGUUUCAGGUGAAAAGACUUCCAGCAGACUUGGAUCCAAGUGAAUCAUGCUUUCAGAGUUUUACCCAGGUGCUUACAUGCACCAAGAAAAAAAAAAAAAAAAACAGCAAGCAAUGGCAAGCAAGGUUACUCACAGCCCUAGAAAACGUUUCUGGGCAUUGGAGUCACAAUAUGAAAAUUUCAACAUCAUUAGUCAUCUUUUUAAAAUGUUUUCAUGUAGGAACCCUUAAGGCCACUGUCUUAAAAUCAAGUUAACAGACAUGAGCCGGGAAAUGUCAAACAUGCUGUAAAAGAAGUUGAUGUAAAUUAUACUCAGCAUGUCAGAGUCUUUCUUAUCAGAGGCAUUAAGGGAAAAUCCGUAGUCCUUAUCUAUUUGUAUUAUCUCCAGACAUAAAGUUGGGCUGAUUCUUAGAAAUAUGGUUCUGACCAAUGAUUCUUGGAUCUAAUUUAAAUUGGUGGUUAUUUUUUAACUAAUUCAACAAUUGAGCCAGAUAACUGAAGCCACUCUAUGUCAGAGAAAACUCUAAAAAAAGACCAUAAACUAAAAUUACUGUACCAUGAGGAGAUAACAGCUUGUAACCAUCGACACACUUACAUGCUAUUUAGAUAAGCCAAUUUGUCAACCAUUGGUGGUAUUGUGUCUCUUCAAGCUUGGUGCCUCUACCAGAGGCCUGGGAGCUUAAGAGUAAUAUCUUUGUUCUGGAUGUCUGAUGGAUCUGUUGGAGCCACUUCUCUAGUGUGGGGGUCCCCUGAGUUCCAUUGUUGUCUUCAUCUUCCAGGCUUUCUCCAGCUCCUCUUUGAGCCCUUGGUACUACUCUGGUUUCUCGUGUUCCUUCUUCCUGAUGUUGGUAUUGCUUGGGAUGGUCACAUCUACCACAACAGCUUUCCUCUGCUGUUUGUCUACAAUUACAAUGUCCAGUUGGUUGGCCAUUACCAUUUUGUCGGUCUGUGUCUGGAAGUCCCAGAGGAUCUUGGCUCGGGGUUUCCAGUCCAUAUUCUGCACAAAUGUUCCUGUACACUAUACCGGCUACUUGGCUAUGGCGUUCCAUGUAUGCUUUUUUCUGCCAGCAUCUUACAUCCUGCCGUUAGGUGUUGGACUGUUUCAGGGUCCUCUUUGCACAGCCUGCAUCUGGGAUCUUGCCUGGUAUGGUAGAUCUGGGCCUCUAUUGCUCUGGUGCUCAAGGCCUGUUCUUGUGCUGCCAUGAUCAGUGCCUCUGUGAUGUCCAGCCCUCUCCAGCCAUUGGUAGGAUUUUCUCAUAUCAGCCACUUCAGCUAUCUGUCGGUGGUACAUCCGAUGCAGGGGUUUUUCCUCCUGUGUAGGUUUCUCUGGUUCCUCCAUACCUGUCAGUUUCCAUUGUCUGAGCCACUCACUAAGCGCUCCAUCUCUUGAGGCCAUCUUCCUGACAUAGUCAUGGAGCUUGGAUGUUUCAUCUUGAUUGGGGCUCCGAUGCUCACUAACCCUCUGCCGCCUUCUUUGCGCUUAAUGUAUAACCUCUGGAUACUGGACUUGGGGUGAAACCCCCCCAUGCGUGAUGAGCAACUUAUAUAUUGAGACAACAGUGCUGUAGAUGAUCUCAAUAAUAUUGUAGAUCUGUCCAGCAGAAAAUGCAAAUUAUGUAACUACCUAUGUCUAUGUAUGUUUGUAUGAAUCUGGGUAUGCCAGUUUCAUCUGGUGGCAUAUGCCUUUUUUUUUUUUUUUUUACUAGUAUGCCAGUGGCAAAGCAGAUUCUCAUUUUUUGUUCUCACUGUUCGUCUGACUAGCUGCACCUGCAUAAUCAGCUCACAGAAAAAUGAUUUAAACUCUUCGGUAAUAUUUUAAUUCUGAGUCAGCUGGGGUUUUUAAAGUGCAAUGUGUCAUUCAAAAGCACAGUGGCAGAAAUAAGACACUGUGGGGACUUCUAUUGAAUGGGAUAAAACAGUGUGUGAUUUUCCAAAAAAUAAUAAAAGUUUGAUUUCGGACCUCAAACCCACGAACACUGAUAUCCCUAAAGUAAUCAUCAAUAUUAUAUUUAUAGUUUCUGACAGUUAUACAGCUUGUUCCCUGGUUAUCAGCUCAGAGUAUCAUCUCGUCUCUCUAUCUGUGUGUCUAUCUCUAUCCUCCACUCAGCCGGGUGUUCCUCCACUCUUUCCCAUGAGUUGCUGUUGCUUCGAGUAACAAAUCAGCUCAGGAAUGCAUGUUGUCUCUUGCACACGAUUUUAAGGCCAAAACAUUACUCAAAGUCAUGUAAUGGACAGCAUUCGCUAAUGAUUAAGAGUUGUUCCUUGGCUUCUGAGAAACGAUGUCUGUAGAGAAUUAAGUUUUUUUAACAGACGGUUUGAAAUGUCCCGUCUUAAAACUGAAUCUUGAUUGGAUAUCUGAACGCUCUCCUCCAACUCUAUCUGUCUGAGCAGGAAACUCUCCUGUGAUUUACACCUCAAAGACUCCCAGCAGCAGCAGCAGUGUGGUAUUGUAGGUUAAAUGUAGCCUGACCUGGGGCAAAGCGGUAGAGUUUCUGCUCGUAGUCAACCACCCCUCAAAGACUUGAUGUUUCCUCCUUCUCAGAUGGAAAAUUGAUCCCAUCCACAACUAAUGAACAUCCUUUCACUGGAUGACAAAUGGAGGAGACAAAAUGUGUCGUGCCAUCAUAAAGUAUUUUCUCUCUGAGCAGUGCUGCCUGUGGAUGUGGGGAAUGUGAAUCUGUUCUGUUGUGCAGCAUUCAGGCAGACAAAGAGCUGGGCCAGGGCCGUCAGCGACUGUGGGACAUACUAAGCAUCUGGUGACAGAUCCGUGGGGAUGCAUGACCACUUUACACUGGGCUGCCUGUGUGUGGGAGUCCUGGAUAGAUACAUGGAGUGUUUUUACUGCAGACUUAGUGCACACCUCAGGAAUUCCGGCAUGGUCCUGUCCUCACUAGUAAAACCUGCUUGUGUGCUCUACCCCAAACAGCCAUGUGUUUAAUUGUCUGUGGUAGGGGCCUGCAAAGUGCCUUCUCUUUCCCCAUCCGUCACAUGAACUUAUCACUUGGUGUUUUGCCUCAGGCGGAAUAAAUCAGGACUAAAUGCAACGCUCUGCUGCAUUCAUACUGAAGUUGUUUACAAGAAUCUGGAGGCUUUGCAGACAGUUUGAUGAUUCAGUGCCGAUGAUUCAGCAGAAUGGUAAUGAAAAGUUUCUUUUAAAGGUCAGAGUUUGUAAGAACAUACUUGUGGGAGAGGACUCUGUCUUUUUCAUUUUUGAAGUCUUGCUUGAUAGUGUAAGCAGAUUUUAUCUGAAAUAAUGGUCUGUGAAAUGUAAAUGCCUGGAAUUGUGGCCUGUUCUUCCACGUUGACCAAAACACAGUAAAAUCACUUCUGUCUAUAUGUUUGGCAGAUUGAGUCCCUGCACCAACACUUGUACUUCACAGACCAUCAGAUACUUUUAAGACUUUAUGUGACGUCUUUAGUCUGACUUAUAUAUUUUCUGUAUUAUACAGCAGUUUUGUUGUCCCGUGGCCUGAAGUGCACCUCCUCAAAAAAGGUAACUUUGAAUCAAAACCAAGCAGCGACCUCCUGUUUGAGGAAUGAAGCUGAUAGAAUACUGGAGUACUGCUGACUGCAGUACUCGAGACUGGAAACCAUGUACACAUUAAGCCAAAAAGACUCUUUUUAGAGCACGUUUACAGCCUGGUUAAAGAAAAAAAAAGUUUUGGUCUGAUCAGCUCAAUGUUCCACAGCGCCUGAAACAAAGCAGACUGCAGGUUCUGUGAUCGGUCCUCAGGGUUUUAAAGAUAUCUUUGGUAUCUGCUUUCCACUCUGAUCCAGUGGCUGUACCAACCCCUCCAACGUGUCCUUGCUUUUCCUCUUCUUAUUAGCUGCAGGCAUAAACCGCUGCUCAACAUUUAUAAACUUCAACCUAAUACUCUGGUAUAGGUUGCCAUGGCUACCUGUGUAGAAUCAAUCAAAGCAUGGAGCAGAGCUAGAAAGCGGUAGUAUGGCUAAAAUAGAAAUUGCACUGCCAGAUCACACAUGGAUGAACAUAAAGUGCUGAUGACAGUGUGUACCUCCCCAUAGCUUAGGCAUAAAGUCAACACAGAAGUAUAAACCCUGCUUUACACAGUUUGGUAGUUUUAAUAAAAGGAAUUGCAUGAUUUUAGAUGAUCGUUUCAGGUGAUGAUGAUGUUGUGAACACACCAAAUCAUUUCAGUCAUAUUUCUAAAUUUCUUUGUAUUAAACAUAAUUGAUUUUUUGGCCCCUUCUAUCUUGGUUCAGCAUGCCGGUAACCCAUGAUAAACUGAGUGUGUACUUGGUAGCGCUGCAUGAUUUUGGCCAAAGAUAAAAUCCAGUUUUUUUUCUCUGAAAACUCGAUUUUCAUCAUCAUAAUCAAAUAAUACAAUUACAAGUUAAAAUCGAUAAACCAUGCAGCCCUAGUACUUUGGAUGUUUACUGACUGACUGACUGACUAGUGAACCAGCACUGUUAAUGCAGCAAUCUUUAAAAUGCAUAAAUACUGUAUGUCUUUGUUUGAACUUUGCCACCUUCUCAACACAGAUUGUCUGAGCUCUACAUAAAACAGCUGAGAGUGCGGUUUGUUUACUGGGUCCAGCCAAUUACUGUCAUUGGGUUUCCUCAAAAUGCAUUAAAGCCAUUUGAAAGCCAUCCAUAUCCUAAUGUAUCAGCAUUGUUUUUACCUGGAGAGAAAACACUGACACUGUCAAAUCUGGCUGUCAUUUCUGCAAAAAUUUGCAAUCUUUAACAUCAACUAUAGUUAUCUAAUAUGCAUCAAUGAUGACCAAACACCACUUGACACAUAUUUUUUUACUAAAUAUUUUUACCCACUACCUUCCUAAUGACUGUCACAACACAAAUUUUGGAAUUUUGUUAUCCACUCGUCCACAGCUUGACCUAAAAAAACAGGAUGAUCCUGAUGGUCUGACCAAGUCUGGACAGCUCCUAUACCACUGCACUACUUCAACACCAUCAUGGCACAGUCUACUAAAAACCUGAUCAGGCCUGAACUGUUUAACCUCAACAGGUUUCAUGGCAUAUCGAAUGUAUGCACGAGAAAAUAAAGACGAAAGAUAGACAUGAAUUUUUAGAUCAAGUGUUGAGGCAUGCACAGGCAUUACUGUGAAGCCCGUAAACAAACUUGUUUAGAUGUUUGUGUGAUGAUGAGAGGACAUUCUUGAAUCCCUAUCAAAGACACUUCAGGUAACAGCGGGGUUCACGGGCCUCAAAGUUGGCAGAGGCUGGCAUAAUCCUGUCUUGUUGUCUUACUGCUGCCUGUAACUUGAUGUGUUACUCCUUUGGCUAUGAAUAUCUGAAAGCAUGCCAAGCAGAAAAUCUUUAUGUGCAAGAUAUUUCAGAGCUCUCGGUGCAUAUCAAGUAAUCGUGAGAGAAACUGGUGUUCCUGUGGUGUAGUGUGAGGAUAAGCAGACAAGCUGAUUCAAUCAUGACGUACUUACUUUCUGUAAAAUAUAGAAAGAUAUACAAUUAUCUUAAUUUGUGUGCAUAUUACAGCACUUAAGCUAUGGACACUAAUCAUGUGGUUACACUAAGAGGCUGUUUCUUAAAUGUGUCAUCCAUAAUUCUGGUCAUUAUUUAAAAAACAACUAUCACAAAAGAAUAACAAAAUGUAAAAGGUUGAAUAAAUCUUUGUUUGAGUGUCCUGUUUCAUUAUUAUUGAUUUAAUUGGAUUUUUAUGCAUCUACUAUGACUGUACAUUAUCAAAUUAUUUAAUUAAAGCACCUAAAGAGCAAAAAAUCCUAUUAAGUCGAGUGUUUCUGUGUUGGUCAGUACAUUUAAGUGUAUAAAAAAAUUUAAAAAAACAAUUUAUUGCCUUAGUCCCACUGGAACUGGACUUAUAUAAAAACAUGUAAACAUGUUGGUCAGACUGAAAUUGCAUGAAACAGAGCUCCUCAAUAAUGCAGUUGUUUGAAACUGCUGACAGAGCUGCUAUAUCGAUUCAGAUGCUGUGAGCAAAGAUGCAGUUUUGGUAGCACCUAUUUCCUGUCCAAAUCAAAUACAAUAAAACAAAUUCAGGACCCAGAAUUAUCUAUUACAGCCCCCUAACAUCAGUUGAUUUUAGUAGCACACUUGAAAAUAUCUGAACUUUUGUAAGGCUUUUCCACAAGUCAGUGUGACCAAUCAUAAUCUAGACAGGGCUGGACUUAUAGUAUCAUCUUUGUAAACAACAGUGACAAAGAUGUGCAAAAAAAGACAGACUACACCAUGAGGCAGCAUGUCCAGAGCUCCUAGCUGUAACACAGUUUCUUAUUAAUCCCUGGGCGGAAAUUCACCCCAUGUGGAUGAUGCAGUUCUUCUUAUCUCUUUGCUGGUUUUGUCCUACUUGUGUUUUCUGAUUGAUCGUCUCAUCUCUUUUCAUUGCUCUUAAAGGGUCCACACUUUAAUGUAUAAGUUAGUUACAAAGUUACAAUGGAGGAUUUCCUCUCCAAAGAGGAAGCUGACACCUUCUACUAUGAGCUGGAUUUGCAUCUCAACUAUAACUGUAACUUGGGGCUGUUUUAAAAAGAGCUUCCAUGUAGGCUCUGGAGCCUGAACUGUAAGAUACAUUAUAGCAGCAGCCAAUGUAACAUGAGCUUACUGCUUAAAGCUAGAACUGGAAGAUAACAGCUAACCCCAUACCUCUGUAAAGACAACUUCUGUGUAACUUGUAUGACCACAAUGCUGUUCAAAAAGAGACAGCUACACUGGCCUAAAUAUCAGAGGGGAAAACACAAAAGGAUAGAUUUAAAAAGAUACGACAUUCCUUUAUUUGUCCCACAAGGAUAAAUUCCAAAGUUUACAGCAGCAAUAAAUACGAGUUGGUAGUUCAAUCCCCCCCUAUCAUGAGUCUAUCUGUUGUGUCCUUGGGCAAGACACUUAACCCACCAUGCUCCCAGUGUGUGUCCUCCACUGGUGUAUGAUUUGAGUGAUGUUUGGUGGUGGUUGGAGAGGUUAUAAGCGUAAUACCCGGGUAUUACCUAAAGGAAGCCCUAACGCCCCAAAAACUUUUUUUUAGCAUUUUUCAAUUUUUUUUGGUCUAACUAACUCCUAAAGGUUGGAAAAAAGUUCCUAAAAAGGUUUUGGACAGUGAUUUUAAUCCUAACCCCCAAAACCUUACACCUUACCCUAGCCCCGUAACCCAAUACCCGGGUAUUACCUAAAAGAAGCCCUAACACCCCAAGAAAUUUUUUUUUAUUUUUCAGUUUUUUUUGGUCUAACUAACUCCAAAAGGUCUGAAACAUGUUCCUAAAAAAGUCUUGGACAGUGAUUUCAACCCUAACGCCAAAAACCUUUAACCUUACCCUAGCCCCAUAACCGGUUUGCGUUAUAAGCGCAAACUGGCAGCCAUGUUUCCUUCAGUCUGCCCCAGGGCAGUUUACCACCACCACCAAGGAGUGACUGUGUGAGCGAAUGAAUGAUGUAUCCAGUGUAAAGCACUUUAAGGGUCUCCGAUAAAGUGCUAUCAAAUCAGAUGCAUUAUUUUCAUUGUAAAUAAAAAAAUAUAUAUAUGUCUCUUUGAGCAAAAAAAUGUUCUGACAACCUGCUACAUGAUCGUCGCGAAGAUAAGAGCGGCAGAAAAUGAACAAGUCCACCUUUUUGAAACACGCGGCUCCGUGUAAAAACAUAUUAGGGGGAUGUGUGGUGGAAGUAUCACAGCCUUGAGGCAUGAACCUGGAAUUCACCGUUUGUUUAGCGGAUAAGAGAGCGCUGCCGGUGCUGCCGGCUACAACAGGAGGUGGUACAGAGUUCAGGUGCAGGUAAAACUCACCUGACAGACUGAUCUGGAGCUGUCUGGCUGCUGGGAAACACAAAUGUUGGAGGAGGGGGUGGGGACACAUAAAGGGAACAGUGUUUGAAAUAGGCCACCUCUGAAUCAGAUCCUCAGUUAAGAAAUGCACCAGCGACAGUAGACAGGCAACUCAUCCAAGCUUUAUGUGAAUAAGUAAAAUUUCUCUGAAGCAGAAGUGUUUUUUCUCUCUCUCUCUCUCUCUCUCUCCCUGAAACGUGCAGCAAUCCACAGUUUGGUCAUCCAUCACAGAAUUUGUUCAAACUGGCCAAACAUGCCAAAGGCUUUCAAAUUCCUCAACUGAUGACCCCUCUAAAGGUACACAACAAGACACACACACACACACACACACACCCAAGUAAAAUGAUGAACUAAAAUAUUAGUUUGACUUGUAUUAAAGCAGAGCAGCAGCAGACAUGCAUGUGUAAUUUUCUCAAAUGAAGCAAAAGUGAGCAAAGCAAAUUAAGAAACAUUCCCCUUUCUAACCCCGAGGCUGUUGACACCACAGUAUCAGCCUGAUCUGCAGGACUGGUGCUUAUCCAUCUUCCAAGAGAUUGAGAUCUCACUUCAAAGAGGAGCUCAGCGCUUCCUAUCAUUACUGG